rnacentral:snRNA from 1 species
GUGCUCAUUUCGGCAGCACAUAUACUAAAAUUGGAAUGAUACAUAGAAGAUUAGCAUGGCCCCUGUGCAAGGAUGACAUGCUAACUCAUGAAGCGUUCCAUAUUUUU